CAGUAGCCACGGGAAUACGGAGGGUGCGAGCGUUAAUCGGAAUUACUGGGCGUAAAGCGUACGCAGGCGGUUUGUUAAGUCAGAUGUGAAAUCUCCGAGCUUAACUCGGGAACUGCAUUUGAAACUGGCAGGCUAGAGUCUCGUAGAGGGGGGUAGAAUUCCAGGUGUAGCGGUGAAAUGCGUAGAGAUCUGGAGGAAUACCGGUGGCGAAGGCGGCCCCCUGGACGAAGACUGACGCUCAGGUAUGAAAGCGUGGGGAGCAAACAGGAUUAGAUACCCCAGUAGUCCCUGUCUCUUAUAC
rnacentral:rRNA from 1 species